rnacentral:tRNA from 1 species
GGAGGAGUGUCCGAGUGGCCGAAGGAGCACGCCUGGAAAGUGUGUAUACGCUAAACACGUAUCGUGGGUUCGAAUCCCACCUCCUCCG